GUUUUGUACAGCUCUGGUCAGCAUUACCGUAACUGGUCAUGGGUGAGUUGUUCAUAGCUGUGGGUUCUACUGCACCAGCCCUCAUCAUGCCAUGCCUGCAGUCCUCUGCUCUGCAACCUGUGUCCUCACUUCUCAAGGUGUGCGUAAUGAUGCAGACUGCAUCAUUAUGAUGGUGCUCUGAAGAGAAUAUGAAUGACUUGCUUGGACAUCACACAGGAAAACUGAAGAAAAACUGUUUUAUCUCCUAAAGUGUGGGCUAACACAAUGACCGUUAAACAACUCUCUCUCUUCUUUACUUGACAUUUUGGUGUACAAUUAUGAAACUUGGUAUUUGUGUCCUGUUAAGCUAUGUUUUUGCCUGCAAUCACUGGAACAGUACUGAAGUGGGUUGGUGACUCUUUGCCUUCAGGAAGGUAGAGGAGUAAAAUGGUUCUAAUUAAAAUAGAAUCAUUAAGGUUGGAAAAGAUCUCCAAAAUCACCUAGUCCAACCAUCCCCCUACCA
rnacentral:lncRNA from 1 species